rnacentral:lncRNA from 1 species
CAUUUGGUGUUUCUCAGUGGGGUUUGUGGAUGUCCCGCAUCAGAACCACCUGGGGUCUGGCCAGGCCGACUGGAUCUGAAAGGGGUGGGAGCUGCAGAGGGGUCUGUUUGUUUUUCAAGCCCUCCUGGAGAUUCUCUCACCAGAGUUCAAGAGGCACUGCUCUAAUUUUUUUUUUCUUCUUUUAGAGGCUGGGUCUCACUAUGUUGCUUAGGCUGGUCUUGAACUCCUGGCCUCAAGCUAUUGUCCGGCCUCAGUCUCUGAGUGGUUGGGAUUACAGGCAGAACAACUGUGCCCGGCUCACACUGCUCUAAUUCCUGAUACCCACCCAGCUAAGUUCCUGAUUCUGCUUUACACCCUUUGCCCUUUCUCUUAGGGAGUUCAUACUCUCCAGCAGGCUUUGUUCUUCUGCUACCCAGAGGCCCCCCUCCAGCUCCCACCUCUUAUCUAGCAUCCAGCCUUCUAUUUGCAGUUAUUCCCAGGGAAUCUCCUGCAUGCUGGGUGUGACCACCCACACUUGUCAUCUCUUGGAACAACAUCCCCAGGAGCCAGAUCUGCUGUUAGAGGAGAAUUCUUCUGUCCUAGCUGUGUCUCUGUGAUCUGUGGAUGAGGGUGGGAAAGCACCACUCAGUCAAUUGGGGUGUACAAAAUGGAGUUUGAGAAGGUCUCACAUCCAGGUUGUUUUGAAGCAAAGUCCAAGCAUUGUAUCACUUCAUCUGCAAAUAUUUCAAUAAGUACCCAAAAGACUUCCUAGGAUAGAGCUUGGAAAGGUUGGAAAAGUAAGGAUGAUUGAACUUGAAAGGUGUGAAUGAAAGAAGAAUUAUCUUUUGGGAUGGAGAAUAGUAGCUGUUUUCAAAGAAGAUUUUAUUUUAUCUUUCAUUUUUGGCCUAUAAGUUUUGCAGAGAAUCUGUGAUUAGAGUAUUUAGUAAAGUACUAUGUAAUUAUUGUUCUGUUAUUUGGACACAUGUUUAAACUAGAAUUUUGAAGAUAGCAAUUAGCAAUAAUUAUGUAUGUUCUAGCCACUUUAUUCAUUCUACCUCUUUUACCAUAUACUUUAAAGAUAUCUAUAUGGUAAAAGGUAAGUGGCAACUGAAUAAUCACAAAUACAUCAACAAGUAAAGAGAUGCUUUGUUUUAUUGA